ACUCUCAUCUUCUAAAACUUCAUUUAAAACUUGUAUUUGGUCUAGCUCCGUCAGAGGACGACUUGUCGAAGGGACAGCCAUUAUAAACUACCAGGUCAGGCGUUUAUUUUUAGACUCUCCGGUGCAGGUCUGUGGAAUGUAACACUGUUGCCAUAUGUAUACACAUAGAGCUUUAUUUCCACAACAGGCGAGUAAAAACCUCAUCGCGCUGGCGUUAUUUAUUCCAUACUUAUGGGCAUUAUAAAUUAAGCUAACAGCCUUGCGUAUAUGCACGUAAAACCACAAGCACUCAAAUUUAAAUGCCCGCGUAUAUACAUGUAGAAACACGUCGAAAGGUUAAAAGCCGAUUGGCAAGCGGCUUUGGAGAGAGUGUGGAAAGAGCUGAGGUGUGAGUCAGGAUGUAGAAGUGAGUUGCAAGCGAGAUGCUGUUGCGGACAGCGGUGGCAAGCGAUAAACGAUGAGUGUGGAAAGAACAGAGCUGUGAAUCGGGUGUAAGAGAAGUGUGUGGUAGAGUCGAGAGAGUGGAGCCAACAAGAGGUCUGGUCGGCUGCGUGAGCGGGCACCGGGUACGUGGACCGUGGUGGCCGAGGAGCCAGCGUGUGUCCAGUGGGGUGCUACGGGCCGAUGUGUAAGCGAAGAGUGUGAAGAUUGCCGAGCUCGGGGGACCAGAUAGACUUGGAGGACUGUGAGAGUGUGUGCGCGCAUGUUGAGAACAGGAAACAGAGACUCAAAGACUGUUGUUGUGGCAGAGAGUUGACUGUAUGUGCAGACCUCUGUAACUGAUUUAAUUUGACGUGAAUAAAUCGAGGUUGACAAUCCA